rnacentral:rRNA from 1 species
AGUGAACGCUGGCGGUAGGCCUAACACAUGCAAGUCGAACGGCAGCACAGGAGAGCUUGCUCUCUGGGUGGCGAGUGGCGGACGGGUGAGGAAUACAUCGGAAUCUACUCUGUCGUGGGGGAUAACGUAGGGAAACUUACGCUAAUACCGCAUACGACCUACGGGUGAAAGUGGGGGACCGCAAAGGCCUCACGCGAUUGAAUGAGCCGAUGUCGGAUUAGCUAGUUGGCGGGGUAAAGGCCCACCAAGGCGACGAUCCGUAGCUGGUCUGAGAGGAUGAUCAGCCACACUGGAACUGAGACACGGUCCAGACUCCUACGGGAGGCAGCAGUGGGGAAUAUUGGACAAUGGGCGCAAGCCUGAUCCAGCCAUACCGCGUGAGUGAAGAAGGCCCUCGGGUUGUAAAGCUCUUUUGUUGGGUAAAGAAAUCCUGUUGGCUAAUACCCGGCGGGAUGACGGUACCCAAAGAAUAAGCACCCGGCUAAACUUCGUGCCAGCAGCCGCGGUAA